AUGGAGGCAAAUGAGGGAGCAGCACAAGAGGUAAACAUGAUAUUGAGUACAUAUGAAAAGUGCUCAGGGCAAAUGAUAAACAAGGACAAAUCAUCAAUUUUCUUUAGCAAAAAUAAGGAUGAGGGACGAAAAAACAUUAUGAAGAGGAUCAUGGGCAUCAAUGUGGAGGGCUUAACUAGAAAAUACUUAGGCCUUCCUACAUAUAUUGGCAAAGGAAAAGCAAAGAAUUUCGCUAUAUUCGAGAGAAGGUCUGGAAAAAAAAACAGGAAUGGAAGGAGAAACUGUUGUCAAAAGCAGGGAAAGAAAUAUUGA
rnacentral:rRNA from 1 species